rnacentral:tmRNA from 1 species
GGGGUCGAUUUGGUUUCGACUACGUUGAUCAAGCUAGGGGAAGCGUGCCGGUGAAGGCUAGAGACCACCGUUAAGCGUCGUAGCACAUUGAUAAGCGCCGAGAACACUCAGCGCGACUACGCACUCGCUGCCUAAUUCGUAGCGACUAGCGUGUCUGUCAGCCCAGAUACGUUCCCGAUCUGGUGACUGGCAUCGACUAGGGGACUUGCUGAUUUUGGGCGUUAGCAGCCAAAAUUGGGACUUCUAACUGCUAACUGGGCUCAUCAUCUGGAAGCGUUCGCCCUAUCCAGAGAGCCGAGUAGAGAUCUGCGCGCGAACUGCGCACGGAGAAGCCCUGGCAAGGUGGCGUAGGACCCGGGUUCAAGUCCCGGCGGCUCCACUC